AAUCUUGCGGGUUAAUCUGCUAAUUUUUUGUGGUGGUUCUGAGUCGUUCAUCUGGUCUUGUCGGAAAUUGCCGCCCCUAUGUGGAAGAAAAUUGAGCGUCCACACUCGCAAACUUAAGUGGGUCCUACAAUGGCUCUCAAAAAUAGAGAGUGAAACGACAGCGUUUGGUUUUAUUUGCUUUCCUGCUUUGUAUCUCUAGCAGCUUUUUAGUUUGGGACCUGUGGGAAGUUAAGUUGGGGCUGAAAGAAGAAGGAAGAGAAUGAGGGAGAGGACGAAAGUGAAUGCGAUGAGAUCGGGAGUUGUGGUGCUUGGAGCACUGGCAUUUGGGUACCUUACGCUACAGCUUGGGUUCAGGCCCUUCCUUGAAAGAGCUCAACUUGCUGUUGAUGAGUCUGAGCCGCCAUCUUCCUCCUCCUCAGAACAACAACAGCUUAACUCAAGCUCAACCCGCCACUUCUAAAUAAACAAUACCCACUACCCAGAGCCUCACAACUCUCACUUAUUUUGCAAUUUUGUUUUCUUUUUUUCUUUUGUUGGAUUGGGAAGUUUUACUGCACUGCGCAAAAGGGUUUCUUGCUGACCCAGAGAAUUGCUUGGGCCAUUGGUGCUCUGAAAGGUAAAGACUCAAAACAAAUCAACGCCUCCUUUUCUUUGUAGUGGUGGAGGGGCGAUGGUCCAGCAGUGGAUUGUUUUCUGACUGGAAGGGCCACAAAGAAAACGUAAGACUCCACAGGAUGAUUGUGCAAGAGAGGGUUUGAUGUGAAAGAGAAGCAAUCAGAGAGGGUAAGGAAUGUUAUAGCUCAGAGGGCUCAAGCAUGUGUUUAGUCAGAGGGAGAAGUUUAUGCAGAAUUGGUGAAUUGGGUUUGAUCAAAACUUAUAAUGUAAAGCAAGGGUCAACACAUUCUUUGGUUGCCCUGUUGAUGAACACAAGAUUUUUUAGCUCCAACUGAUGUAUGAUCUCUGUUGAUGAACACGAUAACUUUUAGUUCGGGAUUAUUUCUUUUAAAUCAAGGGUUAUGGGUAAGUGGAUAUACAUUGAAGUGGAAUACAUAAAAUGUGUAUGAUAUGGAAGCUGAUAGCGAUUUUAGAUGGUAUUGUUGUGUUGCGUUUUGUUAAUAACAGGAAGGGAACUGCACUGGAUUAGGCUCUACUACAGACUUCAUCCAUGUAGUAAACUUGUUGAUGGA